AGGAAAAGAAGGAAGAAAAGGAAGGAGAAGAAAAAGGAGAUCAAGAAAAUGAAGCUUUUGGACUUCUCCCUCUUCUUCUCUUCUUCUCUUUUUUAAGCUAGAAUAGAGGUAAGCUUCAACACCCUCUCAUAGUAGAUGUGUUAGGGUUUGCUUUGAUCUCUUAGAACCUAGCUAGAUGGACUCUAGUGGAUCUCUAGAAGUAGAUGAACUCAUUAAUUGCAUGAUUAAUUGCUAGUAGAUGGCAUUUUGCAAUAUUGGGCUUCUAGGGCAUCCAAAAGAGGGUUUUUGGAAAAGUAGAGGAUUGAUCUCAUUUGACCCUCCUCUAACCUAAUUGGUACGUAUUCUGACGCAACGGUGCACUCGGUUCGACAAUCCGACGAGUGUACGCGGAGAUAUCAAAGAUCUAAGCCGCUAGGGUACAGAUUGCCACAGCACGUAGCGAAAGCUUCCAAAAAUCUUGGAAACGGAAUCGUAGCUUCAAGACAUUACCAAGAGGUGGGGGGUGUCAUCCCGAAGCAUCCGGAUUUCUUUUUAUGUCUAAGUUAAUUAUGUUGAUCAUAUUGCGCUAUAGGAAUAGUAGUUGUACAUUUCCAUUUCCUUGCAUGCUUUCUUGGUAGUGUAGCGGGGUGAGCUUGACACGUGGACUAGGAUAGCAUGAGGAUUGGGUCUUGUGACAUAGAAUCCUAUAGCGGCAUAAAGAGCCGAACUUGGACAUAGCCUAGUAGAGUGGCAAUGAACUAGUAUGGUAGAAGCACUACGACAUGAACGAGUGACAUGUAGAAUUAUUAAGACAUUUACUACAGCGACUGAACGAGCGGC
rnacentral:lncRNA from 1 species